UACGUAGGUGGCAAGCGUUGUCCGGAAUUAUUGGGCGUAAAGCGCGCGCAGGCGGUCCUUUAAGUCUGAUGUGAAAGCCCACGGCUCAACCGUGGAGGGUCAUUGGAAACUGGGGGACUUGAGUGCAGAAGAGGAAAGCGGAAUUCCACGUGUAGCGGUGAAAUGCGUAGAGAUGUGGAGGAACACCGGUGGCGAAGGCGGCGUUCUGGACUGUAACUGACACUGAAAGACGAAAGCCAGGGGAGCAAACGGG
rnacentral:rRNA from 1 species